CCUACGGGGGGCUGCAGUAGGGAAUAUUGGACAAUGGGCGAGAGCCUGAUCCAGCCAUGCCGCGUGCAGGAAGAAGGCCUUCUGGGUCGUAAACUGCUUUUGUCGGGGGAUAAAACACCCCUGCGGGGGAAAUUGAAGGUACCCGGUGAAUAAGCCACGGCUAACUACGUGCCAGCAGCCGCGGUAAUACGUAGGUGGCGAGCGUUGUCCGGAUUUAUUGGGUUUGAAGGGUGCGUAGGCGGCCCGCGGAGAAAUACGGCAGCCCAACUGUCGAGGGGCCGUUGAUACUGCCGGGCUUGAGUGCGUUCGAGGGGGGCGGAAUUGACGGUGUAGCGGUGAAAUGCUUAGAUAUCGUCAAGAACACCGAUAGCGGAGGCAGCCCCCCAGGCCGCCACUGACGCUGAGGCACGAAAGUGCGGGGAUCAAACAGGAUUAGAUACCCGGGUAGUC
rnacentral:rRNA from 1 species